AUGAACGCUGGCGGCGUGCCUAAUACCUGCAAGUCGAGCGAACAGGCGAGGAGCUUGCUCCUCUGACGUUAGCGGCGGACGGGUGAGUAACACGUGGAUAACCUACCUAUAAGACUGGGAUAACUUCGGGAAACCGGAGCUAAUACCGGAUAAUAUAUUGAACCGCAUGGUUCAAUAGUGAAAGACGGUUUUGCUGUCACUUAUAGAUGGAUCCGCGCCGCAUUAGCUAGUUGGUAAGGUAACGGCUUACCAAGGCAACGAUGCGUAGCCGACCUGAGAGGGUGAUCGGCCACACUGGAACUGAGACACGGUCCAGACUCCUACGGGAGGCAGCAGUAGGGAAUCUUCCGCAAUGGGCGAAAGCCUGACGGAGCAACGCCGCGUGAGUGAUGAAGGUCUUCGGAUCGUAAAACUCUGUUAUUAGGGAAGAACAAAUGUGUAAGUAACUAUGCACGUCUUGACGGUACCUAAUCAGAAAGCCACGGCUAACUACGUG
rnacentral:rRNA from 1 species